GCUCCUGCCCUUGGCGCCGGAUUCCGAUAGAAAAUGGUUAUUACAACUGUUGGAAGGGCAGCUAGCAGCUUUAUCCAGCACAUGACUUCAAAAAAAAAAAAAAAAGCAACAAAAAAGAAGACUAAAGAGCAGCUUCAUGAAACGAUAUAACAUCAUGAGCAGUCACUCUGCUAAAAAGUCUAAGGCUGAUUGCUCAUGAUGCUAUACAAUCUUUCUUGGACUUGUAGAUGUUUGUGUGCUAAGCUCUAGCUUGGGUGAUUCAGAGACCU
rnacentral:lncRNA from 1 species